CAAUGAUGCAAAUGAUGGGGAAAGGGCAGAAGGGAGAGACAUUUAACAUCAACUAAUUCUGUAAGUUUAGUUUUUAGAGAGCAUGAACAGAAGUCUGGGCAUGAAAGUAUUUGGAAGGAACAAGAUCUGGUGUAUCUUUGGGUCUUCAGGCUGCAUCUAUAACCCUUGACUCUCUCAUGGAAAAUGUGUCCCUCAAAGACUCCUCACAAGAGAGAUUGACUCAAGGCUGGUUUCAUCUUGACUGCAUUUUGUAGGACAGGAAAUAUAAGCAACAUUGACCUAAUCCUAUGACCUGAGGUAUGAAAAAACAAAUAAAUUAAGGGGAAAGAUUUGCAUUUGGCUGUUUGCUCGUGGGGUCAGUUUUAAGGAGUUAAUGGCCCCACCUCCUGCAGGACCUUGGAG